UACGAAGGGGGCUAGCGUUGUUCGGAAUUACUGGGCGUAAAGCGCGCGUAGGCGGUGAUCUUUGUCAGAGGUGAAAGCCCGGGGGCUCAACUCCGGAAUUGCCUUUGAAACGGGAUCGCUUGAGUCCGAGAGAGGAUGGCGGAAUUCCUAGUGUAGAGGUGAAAUUCGUAGAUAUUAGGAAGAACACCGGUGGCGAAGGCGGCCAUCUGGCUCGGUACUGACGCUCAGGCGCGAAAGCGUGGGGAGCGAACAGG
rnacentral:rRNA from 1 species